CUACAGGGUCGAGUCUUUCAAAAAAAACACAUAGAAAUAGAAUGAAAGGACUUUUUAAAAGAUGUAAAUUAAGUCUAGAUUUGUAUUUGUUUUGUGAUCGUGAUUUAUCUAAUUCUAUAUAAUGUUGUCAUUGUAUGAAAGAAACCUUUUCUACAUCCCAAAUAACCCUCUAUUCACUUUAUAGUGCACUCCUUUAACCAGGGCCCAUAGGGCUAUAGGGCACUAUGUAGGGAAUAGGGGACCAUUUGGGACAGAUCCGUGAGUAAGUUUGAUUCUAGCUGUGUUUUCUGUAAAGCCUGUUCCCAAAUUUGUUUUGUAUUAGCCAACUCCCGUGAUUUAUCAAUCGUCAUGUUCUGGGUCUGUGUUCAUAAUGCCUCUCCUAGUAGGAGAGGCUUUACGAAUACAGGACCAAGAUAGGUUGGCUGAAGCACAAACUGAUCUGGGACCUGGCUGUGUAUUGUUCUUUGUAUAUUUGAUUAAUGAUACAAUGAAUAAACGUGUACAUUUCAACCACUUGUUUGGAGAUGUUGUCUGUGUGUGAAAUGGCCCCCUGGUUAAGGGUAGAGCCCUAGAUAGGGACUGUUUUAAAAAUAUAUAUUUAACCUUGGCAAGUCAAUGACAGCCUAUUGGGGAACAGUGGGUUACCUGCCUUGUUCAGGGUCAGAAUUUCAUAUUUGUAUUUUGUGAGCUCAGGGAUUUGAUCCAGCAACCUUUUGGUUACUGGCUCUAACCACUAGGCUACCUGCUCUAACCACUAGGCUACCUGCUCUAACCACUAGGCUACCUGUCUCUAACCACUAGGCUACCUGCUCUAACCACUAGGCUACCUGGCUCUAACCACUAGGCUACCUGGCUCUAACCACUAGGCUACCUGUCUCUAACCACUAGGCUACCUGCUCUAACCACUAGGCUACCUGGCUCUAACCACUAGGCUACCUGUCUCUAACCACUAGGCUACCUGCUCUAACCACUAGGCUACCUGGCUCUAACCACUAGGCUACCUGGCUCUAACCACUAGGCUACCUGUCUCUAACCACUAGGCUACCUGCCUCUAACCACUAGGCUCUAACCACUAGGCUACCUGUCUCUAACCACUAGGCUACCUGUCUCUAACCACUAGGCUACCUGUCUCUAACCACUAGGCUACCUGGCUCUAACCACUAGGCUACCUGUCUCUAACCACUAGGCUGCCUGCCUCUAACCACUAGGCUCUAACCACUAGGCUACCUGUCUCUAACCACUAGGCUACCUGCUCUAACCACUAGGCUACCUGUCUCUAACCACUAGGCUACCUGGCUCUAACCACUAGGCUACCUGUCUCUAACCACUAGGCUACCUGCCUCUAACCACUAGGCUACCUGUCUCUAACCACUAGACUACCUGCUCUAACCACUACGCUACCUGUCUCUAACCACUAGGCUACCUGCUCUAACCACUAGGCUCUAACCACUAGGCUACCUGCUCCAAACACUAGGCUACCUGCUCUAACCACUAGGCUACCUGCUCUAACCACUAGGCUCUAACCACUAUGCUACCUGCUCUAACCACUAGGCUACCUGCUCUAACCACUAGGCUCUAACCACUAGGCUACCUGCUGUGUCAUUUCAGACGAUGUGUUUUUCACAAGGGGCUUUUCUAAGAAUCUGGUUUUCAACAGAAACAUUAUAUUGUUAACAUAAUUCUUAAAAUAUCGUUUGUAUUAUAAUUUGUCCAUAUUUGUUUGUUACAUUUUGUAAAUAAUAUAUAUAUUUUUAAACAGCUUAUUCCUCUCUCCAAUGCUGCUCUCCGUCUCUCACACAGUGACUUAUAAAAAACGCAUGAAUAGUUUUGAACAUGAUAGAUAUACUAGAUCAUAGUGGAUUGAGUCUUGAGAGUUUGAUAAUUCAAAAUUCUUCCAAAUAAAUGUUUUCCAUGUCAAUAUAAGCUUGUCGGUGUAAGUUGAUUUUGUCAGAUAACCAUGACAUCUGUCAUAUCAGAUCCUACUAGAUACGUUUAAUAUAUUUGAUUGAAUUCUAAUAAUUUGCCCAAACUUCAGAGAAAAUCUUCCACCUUGUGGUGUGUGUCAUAGCAAGGCGCCAGAGAGGGUGACCCCGACCUGACGUCAUCACAGCACGCCAACCCGUUUGGGUUUCUCUUGCAGAAGAUAAAAGAGACUGAAAAGUGCCUCUUUCU
rnacentral:lncRNA from 1 species